rnacentral:tRNA from 1 species
GCCGAGAUGGCGAAAUGGUAGACGCGCACGCUUCAGGAGUGUGUGGAGCAAUCCAUGGAGGUUCAAGUCCUCUUCUCGGCA